rnacentral:lncRNA from 1 species
CUUCUUCAUGAAGGAAUACAGGGACAGUCACAGGAGACAGGAGCACCAAGGGACUCGGACAUGUGGCUGACACAGUCUUCUGGAGAGCCCCGGAUGGCAUCAGGGGGAAACCUGGCCUGAGACAGUGCCCUGAUGGACAAGGACAGGAAUACGGUCAUACCUCCUGCCCACUUGACCAACGACCAGGAUGAGAAGCCAACAGAUGAUGAAUAUGAAUUAAAGUUGGACAACUAGCAAGUUUAAAACUUGGACUGGGACCUAGAUCUUCCGAUUCCUACAGCUAGCCUCCCUUUCCAUCUUCUCUGUGGUCAUCACUAAUGCAGUUUUUGACCGUCUUGUCCAGAAGCUGCAAAACAGACAACAGAAGCCAGGACUGGUCCUGCCUUAGAUGGCUUUCAGUGCAGGAAAGUAUCAAGACAGUCUUGUUCAUAGCGUAUAUCUCUCUCCACCUUUUCUGCUAAGCACCUCAUGUAUGCAGCUGCCAAUGUAACACCUCCAUUUGCGUGUUUAAUCACCAUCUCAAGCUAAUGUAACCAAGCAGACUUCUUGGCCUUCAUCCCUGCCUCCUCUAGUCUUCUCAUCUCUCUCUCUCUCUCUCUCUCUCUUUUUGAGACAGAGUUUGGCUCUGUCGCCCAGGCUGGAGUGCAGUGGCACCAUCUUGGCUCACUGCAACCUCUGCCUCCUGGGCUCAAGC